GCAGUUGACACAGUACAGUGGUGUAGUGGUUAGCACUCUCGCCUCCCAGACAGAUGCCUCGGGUUCAACUCCACCCAGUGGUGCCUCUGUGUUAGGUGGUGUAGGCUAAGCCUGCACGGGAUUCACUCCAUACUUGUAAAAGUAAUGAAAAAAGUUUUUUAAAACUUCCGCAUCUGAAAAGAAUGCCAAAAUAUUUUGCAAAAAGUCAUGAAAUUCUAUCUUUAGUCAUAUGAAGGGCGACGACGGUGAGAAAACGUACUUUUGAAUAUAAAUCUGAAUUCUUUCUGAAUUGGAGUCAUAAGACAUUCUAAUGGCAGCAGUUGACACGGUACAGUGGUGUAGUGGUUAGCACUCUCGCCUCCCAGAGAGAUGCCUCGGGUUCAACUCCACCCAGUGGUGCCUCUGUGUUAGGUGGUGUAGGCUAAGCCUGCAUGGGGUUCACUCCAUAUUUGUAAAAGUAAUGGAAAAAACUUUUUUUAAACUUCCAAGUCUAAAAAAAAUGCCAAAAUAUUUUGCAAAAAGUAAUGAAAUUCUAUCUUUAGUCAUAUGAAGGUGUACGAUGGUGAGAAAACCUACUUUUGAAUAAAAAUCCGAAUUUUUUCUAAAUUGGAUUCAUAAGACAUUCUACCGGCAGCAGUUGACACGGUACAGUGGUGUAGUGGUUAGCACUCUCGCCUCCCAGACAGAUGCCUCGGGUUCAACUCCACCCAGUGGUGCCUCUGUGUUAGAUGGUGUAGGCUAAGCCUGAAUGGGAUUCAUUCCAUACUUGUAAAAGUAAUGGAAAAAAGUUUUUUAAACCUUCCGCAUCUGAAAAGAAUGCCAAAAUAUUUUGCGAAAUGUCAUGAAAUUCUAUCUUUAGUCAUAUGAAGGGGGACAAUGGUGAGAAAACGUACUUUUGAAUAAAAAUCUGAAUUUUUUCUAAAUUGGAGUAAUUAGACAUUCUAAUGGCUGCAGUUGACACAGUACAGUGGUGUAGUGGUUAGCACUCUCGCCUCCCAGAGAGAUGCCUCGGGUUCAACUCCACCCAGUGGAGCCUCUGUGUUAGGUGGUGUAGGGUAAGCGACCUGGGGGUUCGCUCCAUACUUGUAAAAGUAAAGGAAACAUUUUUUUAUAAAUUCCGCAUCUGAAAAGAAUCCCCAAAUAUUUUGCAAAAUGUCGUGAAGUUGUAUCUUUAGUCAUAUGAACGGGGGACGUCGGUAGAAAAACGUACUUUUGAAUAAAAUUCUAAAUUUUUCUAAAUUGGAGUAAUUAGACAUUCUACCGGCAGCAGUUGACACGGUACAGUGGUGUAGUGGUUAGCACUCUCGCCUCCCAGAGAGAUGCCUCGGGUUCAACUCCACCCAGUUGUCCCUCUGUGUUAGGUGGUGUAGGCUAAGCCUGCAUGGGAUUAAUUCCAUACUUGUAAAAGUAAUUAAAAAAGUUUUUUUAAAACUUCCGCAUCUGAAAAGAAUGCCAAAAUAUUUUGCAAAAUGUCAUGAAAUUCUAUCUUUAGUCAUAUGAAGGGGGACAAUGGAGAGAAAACGUACUUUUGAAUAAAAAUCUGAAUUUUU
ensembl:lncRNA